UACAGAGGUCCCAAGCGUUGUUCGGAUUCACUGGGCGUAAAGGGUGCGUAGGUGGCUACUUUAAGUUUGAUGUGAAAGCUCCGGGCUCAACCCGGAAAUGGCAUUGAAGACUAUUGAGCUAGAGGUUUGGAGGGGGGACUGGAAUGCUUGGGUGUAGCAGUGAAAUGCGUAGAUAUCAAGCGGAACACCGGUGGCGAAGGCGAGUCCCGUGGACAACACCUGACACUGAGGCACGAAAGCUAGGGGAGCAAACAGG
rnacentral:rRNA from 1 species